rnacentral:rRNA from 1 species
GAUGAACGCUGGCGGCGUGCUUAACACAUGCAAGUCGAACGGUGAAAGCGGAGCUUGCUCUGCUGGAUCAGUGGCGAACGGGUGAGUAACACGUGAGCAAUCUGCCCCUGACUCUGGGAUAAGCGCUGGAAACGGCGUCUAAUACCGGAUACGAGCUGCGAAGGCAUCUUCAGCAGCUGGAAAGAACUUCGGUCAGGGAUGAGCUCGCGGCCUAUCAGCUAGUUGGUGAGGUAACGGCUCACCAAGGCGUCGACGGGUAGCCGGCCUGAGAGGGUGACCGGCCACACUGGGACUGAGACACGGCCCAGACUCCUACGGGAGGCAGCAGUGGGGAAUAUUGCACAAUGGGCGAAAGCCUGAUGCAGCAACGCCGCGUGAGGGACGACGGCCUUCGGGUUGUAAACCUCUUUUAGCAGGGAAGAAGCGAAAGUGACGGUACCUGCAGAAAAAGCGCCGGCUAACUACGUGCCAGCAGCCGCGGUAAUACGUAGGGCGCAAGCGUUAUCCGGAAUUAUUGGGCGUAAAGAGCUCGUAGGCGGUUUGUCGCGUCUGCUGUGAAAACCCGAGGCUCAACCUCGGGCCUGCAGUGGGUACGGGCAGACUAGAGUGCGGUAGGGGAGAUUGGAAUUCCUGGUGUAGCGGUGGAAUGCGCAGAUAUCAGGAGGAACACCGAUGGCGAAGGCAGAUCUCUGGGCCGUAACUGACGCUGAGGAGCGAAAGGGUGGGGAGCAAACA